UAUAUCUAUACUACUUAUAAAAGCGUGAGUUUUAAAUUUUUUCCUCUUUUCAAAAAUACCUCUAUCUUUUCUACUAAUAUUUUCAUGUCCAGUAAUUUUCAACCAUUCGUUUCAAAUAAUUUUCCGAAUAAUAAAUUAUUCUUAAACAUAGAUCUUAAGUUUUUAUCAUUGGAUCUCAUCCAACGAUUAAAAAUAAAAGUAUCUGUCACUUUUCUUGACAAAAAUACCCUCAAUAUCCAUUAUCUCCUAUCUACGCGUUUUAUAAAUAUCUACGCAUUUCCUCAAACGUAAUUUUCGUCAUAACUUAAACAUUAUAUCCUAUUUACGGCGUUUCUAAAAUAUUUUAUUUCUCACACAUAAUAGCACCAAUCACAUAAUAAAUAAAAUUAAAUUAAAUAAAUUUAUCCUAUCCACACGUUUUCUCAAACGCGCCAUAAAUUAAAAUAUUUGUAAUCUCCUAUUUACGUGUUUCUCGAAAAUAAUUUACGUGUUUCUCGAAUAUUUUCUUUCUCGCACGUAAUAUCUACGUUAAUCACGUAGAAUGUUCAUAGAAAGAUUUAAUACCCAUCUAUGUUAAUUAAAUAUAAUUUUACAUUUUUGAAUUUUUUUAGUAAAAUAUUCAAAAGCAAUACCCGUCAAAAUAUUUUACGUGUUUCUCAAAUACAGAGCAUAUCUUAAUAUACUCGCAUAUAAUAUCUAAAUAUCGUUACAUAUAAUACGUACACUAUCCAAUCUUAUCGUUGUAUAUAAUAUCUAUACUAUCCAACUUAUCUUUGCAUAUAAUUAAUAUCUACACUAUCCAAUUUUAUCUUGUCAUAAUAUUUAUUCACACAUAGAAUAUAUUUUUUUGAGACAUAUUUUUUUGGUAAUAUAUUUUUUAUUUUCACCUAUAUUUUUCUCAAAUAUUUUUUUAGUAAUAUCCUUUCUCAUAUGUCCUUAUCGUUAACACCAGUACAUCGUAGUACAUCGUCAUCAUCGACACCGGCACAUUGUAACUUUCGCCACCUUCGUCAUAGUUGGAGAGGUAUUUUGAUCUCACCUGAAAAUAUUUUAUUUUUUUAAUGUGCAUUUAUACUAUUUUAGCAUAUUUUUUUUGGUAUUUUCACUAUACUUUUAUCAAAUAUAAAGUAUAUAUUUUUUUAAUAAUAUCCUUUUUCAUUUUCACCUACAUUUUUCUUACAUAUUCUUAAAUAUUUUUUUUAGUAAAUCCUUUCUCAUUUAUCAUCGUUGCCGGCACCAGCACAUGGUCAUCGUCCUCCUCAUCGUCAUCGUCAUCACCGGUGCCGGCAUAUUGUCGCCUUCAUCACCUUCGCCACAGUAAUUUUGAUCCCAUCUAAAUUUUUUUUAUAUUGUUAUAGCAUAUUUUUUUU
rnacentral:lncRNA from 1 species